UUUGUUCUCCAGCCCUCAGGGUGGCAGCUACUUCCUGCAGUUCCCACCUCAGUGAUAUCUCAGAUUCAGCGUUUUACCCUUCCAGUUGCCUAGUUAACAACUUUCUACCCACUCAGUGAUUCUUUAUGUUUAAUUCUUUCUGUUGAAAUAACGCGCUGUUUCUCUCUCCUGCUGCGACCCUGACUGGUGCUCUGAGGUAAGCCUGAGCACUAUUUUCAUGAAAACUGCCUGCUCAAUCUAUUCUUUAAGGACCUGAAAACCCAGACCCCAAAGGAAUGUUCUGCUUUGCCAACAUUCACUGUCCCGGUGUUUGCUGACUUCACAAACAGAACUUGAUGAAAAUAUGAAAAGACCUGAGAAAGGGUGAAUGUAUGAGAGGAAGAUCCUCUGGGAGCCCAAGGAAUUUACAGAUCCCUGAAUUUUAUCACUGUAGUUACUUUUAAAUUAAAGACAAUAACUGUUCCUUCCAGGUUCUCGUUGACAAAUAAGAAUGCCGAUGUCACUCAAGCAUAUGAUAUGAUAAUCUUUCCCAGAACUGGGAGUAUUCAGAACUAACCAGACAUGGGAACUGUGUUUUUUCAAUGUCUGAGACUUUCUCCUAAUUCCAUCUUAGUCACACGUAGUUACUCAUUACCUUGAAGGGCAUUAAGAGUUUAUCCAUGGCUGCUGUACAUUUUGUGCUGCUUUGCUAAAUCAGGAAAAAAUGCAGACAGCUGAGUCAUAGUUUUCAAUUAGUUUUUCAAUUUCACCAGGAACAAAGUUUUUCAAUAUCUUUAUCAAUUUUGUUGCUUUUCAUAUUACUCUGAUUACAUACUUUGCAGGAUAAUCCAGCCUUUUCCUGAAGUAUAUUAAUAAUGCAUAAUAUAAAUGGGGAGCUGCAUUAUCAAAGUACUCUUAAACAGAGGUGAAAACUUGAAAUCCAGCAAGAUUUAGUGAUUCACAUUCAUGGUCUAUAGAGAUGUGACAGAGGAAAGGAGAAUAAGACAAUUAAGAACCUUGAAAUCAUGACAGGGAUUUAUUACCCAAGAAGAACU
rnacentral:lncRNA from 1 species